UGUGGUCAAGGUGAACCAGGAUGGUGGUGUGGUCAAGGUGAACCAGGAUGGUGGUGUGGUCCAGAUGGACCAGGAUAGUGAUGUGGUUCAGGUGGACCAGGAUGGAGGUGUGGUCCAAGUGGACCAAGACAGGGGUGUGGUUCAGGUGGACCAGGAUGGAAGUGUGGUCCAGGUGGACC